UGGGGAAUAUUGGGCAAUGGAGGCAACUCUGACCCAGCAACGCCGCGUGAAGGAUGAAGGUUUUCGGAUUGUAAACUUCUGUCGCGAGGGACGAAGAAUGACGGUACCUCGUAAGAAAGCCCCGGCAAACUACGUGCCAGCAGCCGCGGUAAUACGUAGGGGGCGAGCGUUGUCCGGAAUGACUGGGCGUAAAGGGAGUGUAGGCGGCCUGUCAAGUUAGAUGUGAAAACCCGCAGCUUAACUGCGGAACUGCAUCUAAAACUGGUAGGCUGGAGUGCAGGAGAGGUGAGUGGAAUUCCUAGUGUAGCGGUGGAAUGCGUAGAUAUUAGGAGGAACACCAGAGGCGAAGGCGACUCACUGGACUGUAACUGACGCUGAGGCUCGAAAGCGUGGGGAGCAA
rnacentral:rRNA from 1 species